AUGGAGCCGGUGGCGAAGCGCAUGGCGCUCGCAAAUGUGACAGUGGAAGACGCCGAUACCCUCAACUGCGGCAUCUGCUACCUCCCUCUCAAGCCGCCAGUCUUCCAGUGCGGCGUCGGGCAUACCAUAUGCUCGCGGUGCCGCGACAAGAUGGCAGCGGAGAGGAGGUGCCAUGUGUGUCACGUCCGGUUGACCGGCGGCUAUCGCCGGAACAUCGCACUGGAGAAGCUGCUGGAGUCCAUCUGGGUGCCGUGCAACAACGCCGCCCACGGCUUCCCCGCCACGCCGGUCUACUACGACCACCCCGACCACCUCAAGGCGUGCCCUCACGCGCCGUGCCACUGCCCGCAGGCGGGCUGCGGGUUCGCCGGCUCCACGGCGGCGCUCCUGAACCACUUUGCCGACGCGCACGGGUCGCCGUGCACGACCGAGCUUUGGCCCUGGGCGUGCGUCGAGGUCCAGCUCCGUGACGGCUUCAACGCCAUCUCGGCCCGUGCCCAUGGCCGGCAGUACCUGUUCCUGCUGAACGUGGUGUGGAACCCGUUUGGUCGAGCGGUCUCCGUGCUCUGCUUGCAUCCUCGGCGUCGCCGGCGGCGCCAUGUUGUUUGGAGUUCGAAGUCAGACUCAGAUACCGCUGCAGCAUCAACCACCGUUGCGACAUGUGCCUCGGCCAUAACCAGGAAACUACGUUUAAGGUAG
rnacentral:rRNA from 1 species